rnacentral:rRNA from 1 species
UACGUAGGGUGCAAGCGUUUGUCCGGAAUUAUUGGGCGUAAAGAGCUCGUAGGCGGUCUGUCACGUCGGCUGUGAAAAUCCAGGGCUCAACCCUGGACCUGCAGUCGAUACGGGCAGACUAGAGUCCGGCAGGGGAGACUGGAAUUCCUGGUGUAGCGGUGAAAUGCGCAGAUAUCAGGAGGAACACCGGUGGCGGAAGGCGGGGUCUCUGGGCCGGAACUGACGCUGGAGGA